AAACGACUCUCGGCAACGGAUAUCUCGGCUCUCGCAUCGAUGAAGAACGUAGCGAAAUGCGAUACUUGGUGUGAAUUGCAGAAUCCCGUGAACCAUCGAGUCUUUGAACGCAAGUUGCGCCCCAAGCCGUUAGGCCGAGGGCACGUCUGCCUGGGUGUCACG
rnacentral:rRNA from 1 species